rnacentral:rRNA from 1 species
AUGAACGCUGGCGGCGUGCUUAACACAUGCAAGUCGAACGAAACACCUUAUUUGAUUUUCUUCGGAACUGAAGAUUUGGUGAUUGAGUGGCGGACGGGUGAGUAACGCGUGGGUAACCUGCCCUGUACAGGGGGAUAACAGUCAGAAAUGACUGCUAAUACCGCAUAAGACCACAGCACCGCAUGGUGCAGGGGUAAAAACUCCGGUGGUACAGGAUGGACCCGCGUCUGAUUAGCUGGUUGGUGAGGUAACGGCUCACCAAGGCGACGAUCAGUAGCCGGCUUGAGAGAGUGAACGGCCACAUUGGGACUGAGACACGGCCCAAACUCCUACGGGAGGCAGCAGUGGGGAAUAUUGCACAAUGGGGGAAACCCUGAUGCAGCGACGCCGCGUGAGUGAAGAAGUAUUUCGGUAUGUAAAGCUCUAUCAGCAGGGAAGAAAAUGACGGUACCUGACUAAGAAGCCCCGGCUAACUACGUGCCAGCAGCCGCGGUAAUACGUAGGGGGCAAGCGUUAUCCGGAAUUACUGGGUGUAAAGGGUGCGUAGGUGGUAUGGCAAGUCAGAAGUGAAAACCCAGAGCUUAACUCUGGGACUGCUUUUGAAACUGUCAGACUGGAGUGCAGGAGAGGUAAGCGGAAUUCCUAGUGUAGCGGUGAAAUGCGUAGAUAUUAGGAGGAACAUCAGUGGCGAAGGCGGCUUACUGGACUGAAACUGACACUGAGGCACGAAAGCGUGGGGAGCAAACAGGAUUAGAUACCCUGGUAGUCCACGCCGUAAACGAUGAAUACUAGGUGUCGGGGCCGUAGAGGCUUCGGUGCCGCAACCAACGCAGUAAGUAUUCCACCUGGGGAGUACGUUCGCAAGAAUGAAACUCAAAGGAAUUGACGGGGGCCCGCACAAGCGGUGGAGUAUGUGGUUUAAUUCGAAGCAACGCGAAGAACCUUACCAGGUCUUGACAUCCUACUAACGAGAUAGAGAUAUGUUAGGUGCCCUUCGGGGAAAGUAGAGACAGGUGGUGCAUGGUUGUCGUCAGCUCGUGUCGUGAGAUGUUGGGUUAAGUCCCGCAACGAGCGCAACCCUUAUCGUUAGUUACUACGCAAGAGGACUCUAGCGAGACUGCCGUUGACAAAACGGAGGAAGGUGGGGACGACGUCAAAUCAUCAUGCCCCUUAUGACCAGGGCUACACACGUGCUACAAUGGCGUAAACAGAGGGAAGCAGCCUCGUGAGAGUGAGCAAAUCCCAAAAAUAACGUCUCAGUUCGGAUUGUAGUCUGCAACUCGACUACAUGAAGCUGGAAUCGCUAGUAAUCGCGAAUCAGAAUGUCGCGGUGAAUACGUUCCCGGGUCUUGUACACACCGCCCGUCACACCAUGGGAGUCAGUAACGCCCGAAGUCAGUGACCCAACCGUAAGGAGGGAGCUGCCGAAGGCGGGACCGAUAACUGGGGUG